UACGUAGGGUGCGAGCGUUGUCCGGAAUUAUUGGGCGUAAAGGGCUCGUAGGCGGUUUGUCGCGUCGGGAGUGAAAACCAUGGGCUUAACUCAUGGCUUGCUUCCGAUACGGGCAGACUAGAGGUAUGCAGGGGAGAACGGAAUUCCUGGUGUAGCGGUGAAAUGCGCAGAUAUCGGGAAGAACACCCGUGGCGAAGGCGGUUCUCUGGGACGGUACUGACGCUGAGACGCGAAAGCGUGGGGAGCGAACAGG
rnacentral:rRNA from 1 species